rnacentral:rRNA from 1 species
GUGGGGAAUAUUGGACAAUGGGGGGAACCCUGAUCCAGCCAUGCCGCGUGUGUGAAGAAGGCCUUUUGGUUGUAAAGCACUUUAAGCGAGGAGGAGGCUACCGAGAUUAAUACUCUUGGAUAGUGGACGUUACUCGCAGAAUAAGCACCGGCUAACUCUGUGCCAGCAGCCGCGGUAAUACAGAGGGUGCGAGCGUUAAUCGGAUUUACUGGGCGUAAAGCGUGCGUAGGCGGCUUUUUAAGUCGGAUGUGAAAUCCCCGAGCUUAACUUGGGAAUUGCAUUCGAUACUGGGAAGCUAGAGUAUGGGAGAGGAUGGUAGAAUUCCAGGUGUAGCGGUGAAAUGCGUAGAGAUCUGGAGGAAUACCGAUGGCGAAGGCAGCCAUCUGGCCUAAUACUGACGCUGAGGCACGAAAGCAUGGGGAGCAAACAGGAUUAGAAACCCGAGUAGUCC